rnacentral:rRNA from 1 species
UAUACAGCGAAACUGCGAAUGGCUCAUUAUAUAAGUUAUCGUUUAUUUGAUAGUGCCUUACUACUUGGAUAACCGUGGUAAUUCUAGAGCUAAUACAUGCUAAAAACCCCGACUUCGGAAGGGGUGUAUUUAUUAGAUACAAAACCAAUGCCCUUCGGGGCUCUUUGGUGAUUCAUGAUAACUAUACGAAUCGCACGGCCUUGCGCCGGCGAUGGUUCAUUCAAAUUUCUUCCCUAUCAACUUUCGAUGUUUGGGUAUUGGCCAAACAUGGUUGCAACGGGUAACGGAGGGUUAGGGCUCGACCCCGGAGAGGGAGCCUGAGAAACGGCUACUACAUCCAAGGAAGGCAGCAGGCGCGCAAAUUACCCAAUCCCGACUCGGGGAGGUAGUGACAAUAAAUACUGAUACAGGGCCCUUUCGGGCCUUGUAAUUGGAAUGAGUACAAUUUAAACCCCUUAACGAGGAACAAUUGGAGGGCAAGUCUGGUGCCAGCAGCCGCGGUAAUUCCAGCUCCAAUAGCGUAUAU